rnacentral:tRNA from 1 species
CCCCGCUUAGCUUAGUGGCUAGAGCAUUCGGCUGUAGACCGAAGGAUCGCUGGUUCGACUCCGGCAGCGGGGA